rnacentral:rRNA from 1 species
UACAUAGGUCUCAAGCGUUGUUCGGAUUUAUUGGGCGUAAAGGGCGCGUAGGCGGCGCGGUAAGUCGGGUGUGAAAUCUCGGAGCUUAACUCCGAAACUGCAUUCGAUACUGCCGUGCUUGAGGACUGGAGAGGAGACUGGAAUUUACGGUGUAGCGGUGAAAUGCGUAGAUAUCGUAAGGAAGACCAGUGGCGAAGGCGGGUCUCUGGACAGUUCCUGACGCUGAGGCACGAAGGCCAGGGGAGCAAACGGG